rnacentral:rRNA from 1 species
CCUACGGGCGGCUGCAGUGGGGAAUAUUGGACAAUGGGCGAAAGCCUGAUCCAGCCAUGCCGCGUGUGUGAAGAAGGCCUUCGGGUUGUAAAGCACUUUCAGUGGGGAAGAAAGCCUUGGGGCGAAUACCCUCGAGGAAGGACAUCACCCACAGAAGAAGCACCGGCUAACUCCGUGCCAGCAGCCGCGGUAAUACGGAGGGUGCGAGCGUUAAUCGGAAUUACUGGGCGUAAAGCGCGCGUAGGCGGUCUGAUAAGCCGGUUGUGAAAGCCCCGGGCUCAACCUGGGAACGGCAUCCGGAACUGUCAGGCUAGAGUGCAGGAGAGGAAGGUAGAAUUCCCGGUGUAGCGGUGAAAUGCGUAGAGAUCGGGAGGAAUACCAGUGGCGAAGGCGGCCUUCUGGACUGACACUGACGCUGAGGUGCGAAAGCGUGGGUAGCAAACAGGAUUAGAUACCCCAGUAGUC